rnacentral:rRNA from 1 species
AGCUCCAAUAGCGUAUACUAAAGUUGUUGCAGUUAAAAAGCUCGUAGUUGAAUUUCUAGGUGUAAAAGGCGGUCCUGCCUUCAGGGUUGUGUACCUCCCUUUUACGCCUAUCCUCGUAGUGAACAUGUAUUCUUUUUAUUAAGCGUAUAUGGGACCUGCGUCAUUUACUGUGAGCAAAAUAGAGUGUUCAAAGCAGGCUUUAUGCCGUUGAAUAUAUUAGCAUGGAAUAAUAAGAUAUGACUUCUGUCUUUCUUGUUGGUUUGUAUUCGGAAGUAAUGAUUAAUAGGGAUAGUUGGGGGUAUUCGUAUUCAAUUGUCAGAGGUGAAAUUCUUAGAUUUAUGGAAGACGAACUACUGCGAAAGCAUUUACCAAGGAUGUUUUCA